rnacentral:rRNA from 1 species
AUUGAACGCUGGCGGCAUGCCUUACACAUGCAAGUCGAACGGCAGCAUGAUCUAGCUUGCUAGAUUGAUGGCGAGUGGCGAACGGGUGAGUAAUACAUCGGAACGUGCCCUGUAGUGGGGGAUAACUAGUCGAAAGAUUAGCUAUUACCGCAUACGACCUGAGGGUGAAAGUGGGGGACCGCAAGGCCUCAUGCUAUAGGAGCGGCCGAUGUCUGGUUAGCUAGUUGGUGAGGUAAAGGCUCACCAAGGCGACGAUCAGUAGCUGGUCUGAGAGGACGAUCAGCCACACUGGGACUGAGACACGGCCCAGACUCCUACGGGAGGCAGCAGUGGGGAAUUUUGGACAAUGGGCGAAAGCCUGAUCCAGCAAUGCCGCGUGUGUGAAGAAGGCCUUCGGGUUGUAAAGCACUUUUGUCCGGAAAGAAAUGGCUCUGGUUAAUACCUGGGGUCGAUGACGGUACCGGAAGAAUAAGGACCGGCUAACUACGUG